UGCUGUUAACUAAUCAAGUACUACACAAAGCAGAGAUCAACCACUUUUACAGCUGAUCUUUUGAACUGCUGCUGAAAUCUUCUUCCAUUAAUAUGAAAAAUUGAACUUCCUUGCAUAGUAGAUUGUGGUGUUUUGUUGCUGAUAAAUUCUAGUACAGUGAAAUCCCCAAGUUUUGUUGUCCUACACAAUUCUUUAGUGGUUAUGUGCUCUCAAAUACCCUGGCAGUCCUGACAGAUUGUAGGGAAUCUAUCAAUAAACUGAUUUCUGUAUCAGAGUUAUGCUGAUAGUAUAUAAUGAAAUGCUGGCAUGCCCCCAGGUUCAUGUUCAUAUUCUGAGUCAGGUUUCCUGGUAAGUGUACCUGUUACCCACCAGUUCUGUGGGACUGGUUCUGGAACUACUUACAGUCAGAUAGAGGGGAAAUAUCUCUGAGGAAAUGAUAGCAGUUGAACACAAUCACAAAUGGAAUAGCAGAUCUUGCUGCAGCAUUGCUUUGAGACAAAGGAGACUUCCUCUUGCAAAUGGAAGACAAAGCUGGAAUCCUUCUACAGUCCUGGUAUGGGAUAUCAGCACCAGCCUAUGCUUCUCAUUUGAGGAAGGCACGGGUUGACUAAUCACUUCAAAAGCUUAAUGCAGAAGAACCUUCUGGGACUUCUAGAGAAGGAACUGGACUUCGUUAUUAAUCCCUGGAGACCAUCUGUACCAAAAACAUGGAGUGCUUGCAGUUCUGCAGUGGAAACAGGAUUCAUGUUUCUGGUAGACUGUCCCUCAAGGCACCACCAAUGAUCAACAAGCUGAAAGGAAGACUGAAAAAGGCAAUUGUAGCCUAAAAGGGGAUGUUUCCUGAGGAUGAAAAGCUGAAAGAUAGGGUUGCCUAGGAAAGCUUUAACUAGACUUGUAGAGUAGGCAUGCAGUGGCCUGGAAACUUUCAAGAAGGGGCUUGCUGUGAUGUGGGGUCUUUAAAUGGGGAGAGAUGAAGUUCAUCAUAUAGGCAAGUACUGCAAACAAAUACACUUGGUGUAAUACAGAGCUUGUUGUAUGUUUGUAUCUUUAUCUGUGUGAGCAUAGGAGGCUCAACUUCAAGGCUCAAAGCUAGAGUCAAGCCUUGAAGUUGACUUGCUGGUAAUCCUUAAUCAAUUUCUGGUGGAUAUCAGGAGGAAAUGCUGCUCACAGUAACUGAGCUGUUGUGUGGUAGCUUUCGUUUGUCCUACUGCUUGAUCCCUGUUGCUCAGUGGAAGUGAGUGAUACGCUUCGAGAAUAAAAGUUUUCACAAACUA